rnacentral:rRNA from 1 species
GACUUCUGGUUUAAUGCACCUGGCCCGCGGCCCACAAGGCCUGUGAGUGCCGGCGCGCGUUUACCAUCCUUCCAGCAACGGCUACCCUUAACUGGGCGGCUGGAACUGGAUCUUUUACUUUGAAAAAAUUAGAGUGUUUAAAGCAGGCGUUUGCUCUGAAUACAUUAGCAUGGAAUAAUAAUCUAGGACUUCGGUUCUAUUUUGUUGGUUUCUAUAACUGAAGUAAUGAUUAAAAGGGAUAGUUGGGGGUGCUAGUAUUGGCCGGUCAGAGGUGAAAUUCUUGGAUUCGGUCAAGACUAACUUAUGCGAAAGCAUU